UACGUAGGGGGCAAGCGUUGUCCGGAAUCAUUGGGCGUAAAGCGCGUGUAGGCGGUUUCGUAAGUCUGCUGUGAAAGUCGGAGGCUCAACCUUCGAAAGCCGGUGGAUACUGUGAGACUUGAGUACGGAAGAGGAGAGUGGGAAUUCCUGGUGUAGCGGUGAAAUGCGCAGAUAUCAGGAGGAACACCAACGGCGAAGGCAGCUCUCUGGGACGUUACUGACGCUGAGACGCGAAAGCGUGGGAGCAAACAGGAU
rnacentral:rRNA from 1 species